AUGGCGACCGGCGCACGGGUGAGUAACACGUAUCCAACCUGCCGUCUACUCUUGGACAGCCUUCUGAAAGGAAGAUUAAUACAAGAUGGCAUCAUGAGUCCGCAUGUUCACAUGAUUAAAGGUAUUCCGGUAGACGAUGGGGAUGCGUUCCAUUAGAUAGUAGGCGGGGUAACGGCCCACCUAGUCUUCGAUGGAUAGGGGUUCUGAGAGGAAGGUCCCCCCACAUUGGAACUGAGACACGGUCCAAACUCCUACGGGAGGCAGCAGUGAGGAAUAUUGGUCAAUGGGCGAGAGCCUGAACCAGCCAAGUAGCGUGAGGGAUGACUGCCCUAUGGGUUGUAAACUUCUUUUAUAAAGGAAUAAAGUCGGGUAUGCAUACCCGUUUGCAUGUACUUUAUGAAUAAGGAUCGGCUAACUCCGUGCCAGCAGCCGCGGUAAUACGGAGGAUCCGAGCGUUAUCCGGAUUUAUUGGGUUUAAAGGGAGCGUAGAUGGAUGUUUAAGUCAGUUGUGAAAGUUUGCGGCUCAACCGUAAAAUUGCAGUUGAUACUGGAUAUCUUGAGUGCAGUUGAGGCAGGCGGAAUUCGUGGUGUAGCGGUGAAAUGCUUAGAUAUCACGAAGAACUCCGAUUGCGAAGGCA
rnacentral:rRNA from 1 species